CCUGAAAGUAUUACACAUCCUUUCGUUAACAUCGACUUUUCAACGUGGUUGUUCGAAUGGUAAGCAACGAUGCAGCUCUUCUGGGUGUGUGACGUUAAGCCAGUCUUCCAGAAAAUUGCUUGAUCAUCAAGCUAGCCAAGUGCCGUUCCCAUCUCUGCUUACGAUUAGAUACACACCGUGGAAUUUUGUUAAUGCACAAACACCAAUAAAUUCUAGUAUUUUCAGUUGCGUUCACAGCAUGAAAGUUUAUGUACUCGUGGCAGAUAUAUUAGUAGCCAAAUUUGUGGAUCAGGAUGCACACAGUGAUGUUAGAAAAGAGGUGCCAUAUUAUUGGUGUCACGCUCGUCGAAUUAGAUUCACGUUACAUUUAUUAUUCACAUUUUUAUGUUCUACUAUUUACCUGUCUUUCGCGCAGGUCAAAAAAACUUUUAAACGCUUUUAGCCCAAUUUUGAAUCGUAUAAAGCUUAAAUUUCACUGUGAACAGACACGUUAACAGGUUGAUAUCUUUAAAACACGUCUUUGUUAUAUACGAUCACACAGGCAAAAACACGGUGACGAAAGCAAACAGCGGUGACUCGACUUUCGUCCAUGAUUCCAUAAAUCGUGUUCGGUCGGGUGCUCGGCCCGAUAUCAACUAACCAGGAGUGUGCUUCCUCUCCUCGUAUCCUGGCCAACGCGAUAUAGUCUAUGACUGCGUAUCAGUGACUGCCGGUGAUCUGUACGAGCGUGGCUAAACCGUACACAAACCAAUUAUACACGACCGGCCAGGCAAGAAAUGGGAGAAGAAGGAUGGGCGUCGAUAAAGAUGAUGUGACACGAGGAUUAGAAUUGCACACGAAUCAAAUAAAAGCAGUAAAAACGUACAUAUGCAACAUCCAUAACAAAUGGAUUGUUUUCACUCCAUCGAAAGCAAAAGUGUUUGUCUUCGGAAUCUUCGUUUCUUGGUAUCAUACCCAUACAAUUGUUAUAUGUAAUUAAUUAUUCACAGUUAUAAAUUGUUCACAGAAUAAAGUUAUAAUGGAGAGAGUGUUUCGUAUUUGAGAGAUUAAAUAAGAACAGUAAAAAAGAGUUGUCGAUCGAAAUGUUUCUGGACCCAAAUACAGUGGAACGAUACGAAUAACGCCAUUGCGAUCUUAUAGUAGCGAUAUUUUACGAUCUGGUUAGCUUUGUAUUUCUAACGAAAUGAUGCAAUAUACACGAGAGUACGAUUCCACUAUCGAAAAUGUAAUCCUAGUGCAGGCGAGAAACACGACGUCGCGUCGUUGCGAUUCCGUGACAGUGAUGUUGUGCAAUUGCACGGUAUCUUUAUAUUUCUCGUAGCAGGAUCACACGCUCGUAUGUAUUGCAACAUUAAAAAUAUAAUUCUACAGCGGUCCUAUAUAAUCGCAUAGGGUCAUCACGAGAUCGCAACGAGGUCGUGUCGCUUUUCUGCACCAGAUAUGGUGCACAAAA